AAUUCCUAAUCUCGAACCUCAGCCCCAACUCAUAACAAAAAUGAAAUUUCUGAAUUUAAAAGGUGAUACGAAUAGAGUUUCUAACAUUAAACGAAACAAUUUUUGUAUUUUUAUUUGUCACUGGAAUUCAACAAAGAAAAUGCAUAUGAAUUAAAAGAGAAUAAGAGAAGCUUUUCAGAACCCUCCCCAUUUUCUCCUCAAAACCAGACAUGGUUUUAUAUAGCCCCCUUCCUCGAAUUUUCCUUUUUCGCAAGAAAUAUGGAAGCAAAUCUCUUCUAGAAUGAACCCUGACAGAUGGAAGGAGAGGAUUGAUCCUCAAAUCAAUCCACGGCUCCCAUUUUCGGAGUUCAUUCUUUAGAAAUUCCAAAACAAAUCAGGUACAUAAAAGAUGCAACAAAAUGUCAAAGGCUGUUAGAAUCUUGCUGAGGUAGUGAGAUAAGGUGCACAUGAGUUAAUUCGAUCUAACUCGCUCAAAAUUUCGCGAGUUUGGACGCAGCUUUACAGUGAAGAAGAGACUGAACAGUCGCUUUAGGAUUAGGUCUUCGCAUUUGUGUAUGUAUCUGUGUGUUUUGCGAGUUUGGACGCAGCUUUGCAGUGAAGAAGAGAGUGAAC
rnacentral:lncRNA from 1 species